rnacentral:rRNA from 1 species
GUAGUCAUAUGCUUGUCUCAAAGAUUAAGCCAUGCAUGUCUAAGUAUAAACACCUUUAUACAGUGAAACUGCGUAUGGCUCAUUAAAUCAGUUAUAGUUUAUUUGAUAAUACCUUACUACUUGGAUAACCGUAGUAAUUCUAGAGCUAAUACAUGCUAAAAAACCCGACUCUCGGAAGGGUUGUAUUUAUUAGAUAAAAAACCAAUGCGGUCUCGGCCGGUUAUUUGGUGAUUCAUAAUAACUUUGCGAAUCGUAUGACUUUGCGUCGACGAUGAUUCAUUCAAAUUUCUGCCCUAUCAACUUUCGAUGGUAAGGUAUUGGCUUACCAUGGUUACAACGGGUAACGGGGAAUA